rnacentral:tRNA from 1 species
GGUAAAAUGGCCGAGAUAAGCAUUAGACUGUAAAUCUAAAGACAGAGGUCAGUACCCUCUUUUUACCA